rnacentral:rRNA from 1 species
AUGUUGAAGAAUAUGUUCCCGAAGAAUAACGAGUUGCCCGCCAGUACGUACGAAGCAAAGAAGGCUGUCUGCCCUCUAGGUUUAGAGGUUCUGAAGAUACAUGCAUGCAUUAACGACUGCAUCCUCUACCGCGGUGAAUACGAGAAUUUGAAUGAAUGCCCUGUAUGCACUGCAUUGCGUUAUAAGAUCAGAGGCGAUGACCCUGGUGACGAUGUUGAGGGCGAGAAACCCAGGAAGAGGGUUCCCGCCAAGGUGAUGUGGUAUGCUCCUAUAAUACCACGGUUGAAACGUCUGUUCAUGUACAAAAAGCAUGCCAAGUCGUUGCGAUGGCACAAAGAGGACCGUAAGUCCGACGGGGAGUUGAGACACACCGCUGAUGGAACGCAAUGGAGAAAGAUCGACAGAGUGUUUAAAGAUUUUGCAGCUGACGCAAGGAACAUAAGAUUUGGUCUAAAUACUGAUGGCAUUAAUCCUUUUGGCGAGCAGAGCUCCAGCCAUAGCACCUGGCCCGUGACUCUAUGCAUCUACAACCUUCCUCCUUGGUUGUGCAUGAAGCGGAAGUUCAUUAUGAUGCCAAUUCUCAUCCAAGGCCCUAAGCAACCCGGCAACGACAUCGAUGUGUACCUAAGGCCAUUAGUUGAAGAACUUUUACAGUUGUGGGCCAGACCUGGUGUACGUGUCUGGGAUGAGCACAAAGGAGAGGAAUUUGACCUACGAGCGUUGCUUUUUGUAACCAUCAACGAUUGGCCUGCUCUCAGUAACCUUUCGGGACAGACAAAUAAUGGAUACAAUGCAUGCACGCACUGCUUACAUGAGACUGAAAGUGUACGUUUGGUUAAUUGUAAGAAGAACGUGUACCUGGGUCAUCGUCGAUUUCUUCCCCGAAAUCAUAACGUAAGAAAGAAAGGCAAGCAUUUCAACGGCAAGGCAGAUCACCGGCCGAAGCCUGCGGAACGUACUGGUGCUGAGAUAUUUGAUAUGGUCAAGGAUUUGAAAGUCAUCUUUGGAAAGGGUCCUGGCGGACAAUCAGUUCCGCGGGGAGUUGACGGGCACGCACCCAUGUGGAAGAAGAAAUCUAUAUUUUGGGAGCUAGAAUAUUGGAAAGUCCUAGAUGUCCGCUCUGCAAUCGACGUGAUGCAUGUUACGAAGAAUAUUUGCGUGAACCUGCUAAGCUUCUUGGGCGUGUAU